UACGUAGGCAGCGAGCGUUGUUCGGAGUUACUGGGCGUAAAGCGUGCGUAGGCGGUGUCUUAAGUUUGUUGUGAAAUCCCACGGCUCAACCGUGGAACUGCUUGGUAUACUGCUUAUCUUGAGCCACCUAGGGGCAACCGGAACAAGCGGUGGAGCGGUGAAAUGCGUAGAUAUCGCUUGGAACGCCAAUGGUGAAAACAGGUUGCUGGAAGUGUGCUGACGCUGAGACACGAAAGCCAGGGGAGCAAACGGG
rnacentral:rRNA from 1 species